GAAGAAAUAUUCCACAACUUCUGCAUAGAAAGUGCAUAGGGAGGUACAUUUAUUUUUUGAUAAACAUUUUUAUUCUUUGAAUCCGUUUUGUAUACUUAUUCAAUAUAUCCGUGCAGCACUCUUUUGACUCACUGAUUGAAUGCAAAAUAUACCAGAAUCGUAAAAAAACAGAGACAUUUUUCGUCUGAAACCGAAUCCUCCAGCCAAGUCAUUCUCCUUCGAGGGUAAGGAAAAUCGCAACAUUUCACAUGUCACAACGAGGGCGAUUUCCCUACCCAUAAUAAAACGGACCAUGGCGAAUCCUGCGGGUUCCGUUGAUUUGCUCGCCCGAAAAAAAAAAAACCCAGCCACGCGCGUUUCAAAUCCCUUUAGUUACACUGUUUCAAAAUUAAAUAUUUACAUUUUGUAUGCGGAGGCGGAUGCGGCGGGCAUGAGGCCUGAAUCUCGCUUCACAUGUGGGUGCUUCGGCCCGAAUUGUGGCAUACAGACAAUGGAUACUGGAUACUGGCCAUCUAAUCGGCGGUGGUGGCUGACGGUGCUCCGUCACUUGUCGUGGUCAGAGUCAGAGGCGCAGUUUGUCAGGGGACUGAAAGUUGCUGAACCCCAUUGAGUGACGCCACUGCCUGGCACAUAUGAGCUCAGAUCAUCAAUCCCUCCGUUGGCUGGAUGGGGUGGCGGCCCCCAUGCAGUUUCCGACGCGCGUUUAUUUAGUAAUUUGUUUGUCUCCCGACUUAGUCACGGUUUAUGGUUGACAUUUAUUUUAUGAGCGUGAAAAAUAUAUCACUCGCCAGUGGCAGCCAGCCACCAUGGAAUUCCAGGCGGGGUUGCAGGCAGGUGGCUGCACCACCCACUCCACCACAACGCCACAACACCACCCACAUGCACCACUUAAGCCAAUUUUGAUAGCGACUUAUUGAUGGCCGAGCGAAUGGCGAUUUGUGCGUUAGUCUCGCUCGAGCUCGCUGAUUGAAUCAGUGCGGAAAUGGGACGAGUACGAGGACGAGAUCGAUGGGCAGUUCGUGGUCUGCAAUCUGUGUCCUUGUGCCCCUGUGCGACUCAGGCUAGCUGCUUCUAGCACUUGAUAUAUUGAAACGCCGGAUCGACAAGGCUUCAGAUGUGAGGAAAUGUCGACUGGCACUUCCUUUAGCGAGUAUUGUUAACCGCUGCUAUGCCCAUCAAUUAUGCCGUAAUUAUCCUUGGGCUCAGCCCCGGCUAGUUCAUUGUGCAGCAACUAUGCGGCACAUCCUAUAUAUCCUGUCCUGCAUCCCUAGGCCCUAGUGCUUAGCCCUCAUACCCUGGCGCUCUGAUUUUUCCACCUUGCUGGCCAACUAUGCGGCUCAUCCGCUCCGCUGAACGCCGCCAGAAGGAAGUGCCGUACAGGACCCAAAUCGCAGGACGCAGACUGCGGUAUGCAGGACUCGGAUCGCUGCAAAGCAGUUGAAAAAACACAACGGGCCGAAGAACACAAACAAACACAAGGACAGCUCUUUGUUUGCAGAAAGCGAAAGAGAGGUGAAAUUAAAAUCAAGCUGUUGAUAGCAAUCACACGCUCCUGGCUGCCCGAAAUAAAUAAGUGCUAUCCUUGUAUUGAGUAUACUAAGGCUCUCAGUAAGCUGACAUCUUGUUGAUUUCCUAAGGAGACCACAAUUUGGCGCACCGGCACUUCUCUCAGUGGACAUGUCCUGGCUGCCGUCUUUGCAACUCCGAUGGCGAUGCCGAGAGAGUGGGAUGCAUGCAUCACUAGCCGUCACAUGGCCAACUGCCUUGGCUUCCUGCUCUCGACCAGCCUGCGACUGUCAUCCAUCAUUCCAUUUACUGGAUGCUUGCCAUUUCUUUGGCUCCCGAAUCUUCGCCUCUUCAUCUGCAUCUCCUGAAACAAGGCGAAGUGGGGUAAAGUGAUGUAGUUAGGGUUGACAUCCUCAAGUGGCCCAGUGGCAUUGUUCGCCGAUUUGCGUUUGUCGAGCGUGCAGUAAUUAAGUUGAAGUUGCACAGUAGAUCCCCGAUAAGCAUGGGGAUCAGGAUACGGCCACGGUGGUUAGGGAUAAUCCGCAAGGAUCAAAAGAAUAUGGCCCCCGAUCUUUUGUGCCUCUUCUGAACAUCAAUAGGGGCAAUUGGAUUGACAUUAUCGGAUCGCAGGAUGAGGAUCUGCUUUGAAGUAAUUGUGACCCACGGUAAUUGAUUCGUAAUAUAACUCCUGAGUUAUUACAGAAAGAUCCUUUGAUAAUAAUUUGAAAACGAUCACAAGUAACAGUGCCACAGCACUGAG